rnacentral:tRNA from 1 species
UCCCUGGUGGUCUAGUGGUUAGGACUUGACACUUUCACCGCUGCAGCCCAGGUUCAAUCCCUGGUCUGGGAA